rnacentral:rRNA from 1 species
UCCGUAGGUGAACCUGCGGAAGGAUCCCUAAACAGAAUUACACGGUUGUGCUGGUUCUUCACAAGUGCACACCGUUAUUUCUUCAUUCACCCCAUGUGCACCUAUGCGUCGCCGGUGUUCGCCGGCUUCGCCUUAUUUUACAAACUCUUCGUAUUGAAUGUCUUGAUGAAAUAAUAAUAAAAUACAACUAUCAACAACGGAUCUCUUGGCAUCCCACUCGAUGAAGAACGCAGCGAAUUGCGAUAAGUAAUGUGAAUUGCAGAAUUCAGUGAAUCAUCGAAUCUUUGAACGCACCUUGCACCUUCCAGUACUCUGGAAGGUAUGCCCGGUUGAGUAUUAUGAUCACCUCAAACCUAUGAUUUUCUUAUUGCAAAGACCAAUGCUCUGACGAAAGCACUCAUUGGGGUGCUAGUAGUUGCUGCUUGGUUUGGAAGAUCUUAGGUCUUGGACUUGAGCACUGUUGGCUCCCUCUGGAUCAACUUGCUUGAAAUGUAUUAGCUGGCGACCUGCCUUCAAUGGUUACCACUCGGCGUAGUAAGUCUUAUUCGUCGAGGACACCUUGUACCUUCAUCGGAACAGGUGGCCAUUGUGCUGUGUCUUGAUAGCCGCUUCUAAUCGUCUCUGGACAACAUAACGAACUCUUUAAUCUCAACUCGGGUAGGACUACCCGCUGAACUUAAGCAUAUCAAUAAGCGGAGGAA